rnacentral:rRNA from 1 species
GACGAACGCUGGCGGCGUGCUUAACACAUGCAAGUCGAGCGGAGCGGCGAACGGGUGAGGAACGCGUGAGUAACUGCCCCCCUCUCUGGGAUAACAGUUGGAAACGGCUGCUAAUAGCAGAUAGUGGGGGAUGACUCGCGUCCUAUCAGCUUGUUGGUGGGGGAUGGGCAUACCAAGGGGACGAGGGUUAGCCGGCCUGAGGGGGCGACCGGCCACAUUGUGCUGAGAUACGGCCCAGACUCCAACGGGAGGCAGCGGUGGGGAAUAUUGCCCAAUGGGGGACACCCUGAUACAGAAACGCCGCGUGCGGGAUGACGGCCUUCGGGUUGUAAACCGCUUUCAGCCAUGACGCGGUAGUGGCAGAAGAAGCACCGGCUAACUACGUGCCAGCCGCCGCGGUAAUAC